CCUACGGGAGGCAGCAGUGAGGAAUAUUGGUCAAUGGACGAGAGUCUGAACCAGCCAAGUAGCGUGAAGGAUGACUGCCCUAUGGGUUGUAAACUUCUUUUAUAUGGGAAUAAAAUGUUCCACGUGUGGGAUUUUGUAUGUACCAUAUGAAUAAGGAUCGGCUAACUCCGUGCCAGCAGCCGCGGUAAUACGGAGGAUCCGAGCGUUAUCCGGAUUUAUUGGGUUUAAAGGGAGCGUAGGUGGAUUGUUAAGUCAGUUGUGAAAGUUUGCGGCUCAACCGUAAAAUUGCAGUUGAAACUGGCAGUCUUGAGUACAGUAGAGGUGGGCGGAAUUCGUGGUGUAGCGGUGAAAUGCUUAGAUAUCACGAAGAACUCCGAUUGUGAAGGCAGUUCACUGGACUGCAACUGACACUGAGGCUCGAAAGUGUGGGUAUCAAACAGGAUUAAAUACCCCUGUAGUC
rnacentral:rRNA from 1 species